rnacentral:ncRNA from 1 species
AAGUACGUAGACGUAGACCCGAAACCGUGUGAUCUACCCCUGUCCAGGGUGAAGGUGCGGUAACACGCACUGGAGGCCCGAACCCACGUACGUUGAAAAGUGCGGGGAUGAGGUGGGGGUAGCGGAGAAAUUCCAAUCGAACUCGGAGAUAGCUGGUUCUCCCCGAAAUAGCUUUAGGGCUAGCCUCGGAUAAUGAGUCGUGGAGGUAGAGCACUGAUUGGAUGCGGGGCCCGCCAAGGGUUACCAAGUUCAGUCAAACUCCGAAUGCCACAGACUUUAAUCCGGGAGUCAGACAGUGGGUGCUAAGGUCCAUUGUCAAGAGGGAAACAGCCCAGACCAUCAGCUAAGGUCCCAAAGUGUGUGUUAAGUGGGAAAGGAUGUGGAGUUGCUUAGACAACCAGGAUGUUGGCUUAGAAGCAGCCAUCAUUUAAAGAGUGCGUAAUAGCUCACUGGUCGAGUGACUCUGCGCCGAAAAUGUAACGGGGCUAAACACACCACCGAAGCUAUGGCUUGAUACUAUGUAUCAGGGGUAGGGGAGCGUUGUGUACCGGGUUGAAGGUAGACCGGAAGGACUGCUGGACUGUACACAAGUGAGAAUGCCGGUAUGAGUAACGAAAAGACAUGUGAGAAUCAUGUCCGCCGAAAGCCUAAGGGUUCCUGAGGAAGGUUCGUCCGCUCAGGGUAAGUCGGGACCUAAGGCGAGGCCGAAAGGCGUAGUCGAAGGACAACAGGUUGAAAUUCCUGUACCACCGUAAACCGUUAUGAGCAAUGGGGUGACGCAGAAGGAUAGGGACGCGAGCUGAUGGAUGCUCGUCCAAGCAGUGAGGCUGGUCAAUAGGCAAAUCCGUUGACCGUUAAAGCUAGGCUGUGAUGGGGAGGGAAAAUUAUAGUACCGAAGGUCUUGAUUUCAGGCUGCCAAGAAAAGCCUCUAGCCAGGUGAAGGUGCCCGUACCGCAAACCGACACAGGUAGGCGAGAUGAGUAUUCUAAGGCGCGCGGAAGAACUCUCGUUAAGGAACUCGGCAAAAUGACCCCGUAACUUCGGGAGAAGGGGUGCCUCGGUAGGGUGAAUAGCCCGAGGGGGCCGCAGUGAAAAGGCCCAAGCGACUGUUUAGCAAAAACACAGGUCUGUGCGAAGCCGCAAGGCGAAGUAUACGGGCUGACGCCUGCCCGGUGCUGGAAGGUUAAGGGGAGUGGUUAGCCGCAAGGCGAAGCUAUGAACCGAAGCCCCAGUAAACGGCGGCCGUAACUAUAACGGUCCUAAGGUAGCGAAAUUCCUUGUCAGGUAAAUUCUGACCCGCACGAAUGGCGUAACGACUUGGGCGCUGUCUCAACGAGAGAUCCGGUGAAAUUUUAAUACCUGUGAAGAUGCAGGUUACCCGCGACAAGACGGAAAGACCCCAUGGAGCUUUACUGUAGCUUGAUAUUGGACUUUGGUACGGACUGUACAGGAUAGGUGGGAGCCUUUGAAGCAGGAGCGCAAGCUUCUGUGGAGGCGCCGUUGGGAUACCACCCUGUUCGUAUCGGAGUUCUAACCUAGGACCGU